AGUGAACGCUGGCGGUAGGCCUAACACAUGCAAGUCGAACGGCAGCACAGUAAGAGCUUGCUCUUACGGGUGGCGAGUGGCGGACGGGUGAGGAAUACAUCGGAAUCUACUUUUUCGUGGGGGAUAACGUAGGGAAACUUACGCUAAUACCGCAUACGACCUACGGGUGAAAGCAGGGGAUCUUCGGACCUUGCGCGAUUGAAUGAGCCGAUGUCGGAUUAGCUAGUUGGCGGGGUAAAGGCCCACCAAGGCGACGAUCCGUAGCUGGUCUGAGAGGAUGAUCAGCGACACUGGAACUGAGACACGGUCCAGACUCCUACGGGGGGCAGCAGUGGGGAAUAUUGGACAAUGGGCGCAAGCCUGAUCCAGCCAUACCGCGUGGGUGAAGAAGGCCUUCGGGUUGUAAAGCCCUUUUGUUGGGAAAGAAAAGCAGCAGGUUAAUACCCCGCUGUUAUGACGGUACCCAAAGAAUAAGCACCGGCUAACUUCGUG
rnacentral:rRNA from 1 species